GGAAGAAGGAGGAAUUUGACAGGAGAGUGAUCAUGGCGGAGAAAGAAAAAGGAGGAGCACCAGAGGGAGGACCAUAAAACUGCAUAUUAGUUCCUAACGUAUAUCAACAGAGUUCAUCUGCUGUGUUCAUUUGAUUAAUGAUCAUAUACAGAGUGCAUUGAAGGAAAGUGACUGGGCUGUUGAAGGUCUUCACGUACCUCACUGACAGAAAAUAGAUGGUCCAUUGUAUUGUUCUGUGUUCCUGGAUGCCUCAAGUCACUCACACUGCAUGCCUUAAGCAUUAGUCACAACAUGGACAAGAAAAGGGUCUGGCUACUAAUGACUGAAAGACAUGGCCCCAAAUUUUUCAGACAUCACUACUCAAACACCUGCUUUGCUGGAAUUAAGGUCGUUAAGAUAAAUAACCCUCUACUCUUCUCAGUUCAGCUGUUCAUUGGUGACUGUCCCAUGAUUUUUGUGGUAUUACAUCAUAAUUUUUCUAGUUGUAUUUAUUAAGGACAACCAUACUGCAAGAUAAAAUCCUUUUCACUUCAGUUUUUUCUUAUGGUCCAAUUGGCCAGUCACUAACUAUUGAAUAAAACAAAGCUGUUUAUUACAUGUCCUCUUGACAGCACAUGUUGCAAUUUCACUUGGAAUGAGGUUUCCAUUUUUCAUUGGGUUUCACGCCUUAGAUAUGACUUAGUACAUCGAGACUAUUUAACAAACCAUUUUAAUGAACUAAAAUUAAAGUAACAAACAGAAACCAGACAAUGCUGGGAACAAAUUAACUCAUGUUGCAUAUAUUUGCUCAGUAUUCAACAGUUACUAAAAUGGGACCAACUUUUCUGCUUGGCAGUGCUGGCUGUGGGUGACAGCCAUAUUAUCUACAUUGCAUAAAUACAACCUUAAGUUUCUCUUAGAAACUCAGUUAGAAUCCGAUGAGCACUAUAUUGGUUUGCUAUAGGCUGCUGUAGGCAUGUUCUUGCCAACAACAUCCAUGGACUCAGGGAUUUGGGCUAUAUUAUAUUUGUGUGUGUGUGACUAUAUUUUUACUGCUAUCUGCAUGCGUCUUGUGCUGUGCAUGACUGGUGGUAACGUGUUUUGCAUC